GACGAACGCUGGCGGCGUGCUUAACACAUGCAAGUCGAGCGGAGCGGCGAACGGGUGAGUAACGCGUUAGUAACUGCCCCCCUCCCUGGGAUAACAGUUGGAAACUGGUGCUAAUACCGGAUAGUGGGGGAUGACUCGCGUCCUAUCAGCUUGUUGGUGGGGUAGUGGCCUACCAAGGCGACGACGGGUAGCCGGCCUGGGAGGGGGACCGGCCACAUUGGGCUGAGAUACGGCCCAAACGCCUACGGGAGGCAGCGGUGGGGAAUAUUGCACAAUGGGGGCAACCGUGAUGCAGCAACGCCGCGGGCGUGAUGACGGCCUGCGGGUUGUAAACCGCUUUCAGCCAUGACGCGGUAGUGGCAGAAGAAGCACCGGCUAACUACGUGCCAGCAGCCGCGGUAAUUC
rnacentral:rRNA from 1 species